UACGUAGGGAGCAAGCGUUGUCCGGAAUCAUUGGGCGUAAAGCGCGCGUAGGUGGCUUCGUAAGUCCGUUGUGAAAGUCAAAGGCUCAACCUUUGAAAGCCGAUGGAUACUGCGGAGCUAGAGUACGGAAGAGGCGAGUGGAAUUCCUGGUGUAGCGGUGGAAUGCGCAGAUAUCAGGAGGAACACCAAUAGCGAAGGCAGCUCGCUGGGACGUUACUGACACUGAGGCGCGAAAGCGUGGGAGCGAACAGG
rnacentral:rRNA from 1 species